CUAUCGCUUACAGAUGGGCCCGCGGUGCAUUAGCUAGUUGGUAGGGUAAUGGCCUACCAAGGCAACGAUGCAUAGCCGACCUGAGAGGGUGAUCGGCCACACUGGGACUGAGACACGGCCCAGACUCCUACGGGAGGCAGCAGUAGGGAAUCUUCCGCAAUGGACGAAAGUCUGACGGAGCAACGCCGCGUGUAUGAAGAAGGUUUUCGGAUCGUAAAGUACUGUUGUUAGAGAAGAACAAGGAUAAGAGUAACUGCUUGUCCCUUGACGGUAUCUAACCAGAAAGCCACGGCUAACUACGUGCCAGCAGCCGCGGUAAUACGUAGGUGGCAAGCGUUGUCCGGAUU
rnacentral:rRNA from 1 species